CACCGCUGAACUCUCACUAUUUCACUCGCGUUGGCCGGAAAUGUCCGUAACGGAGAGAGAAACCGAGAAACAUUGCCCGCCGUUGAGAACCCAUUGUCCGCGUACUCACGACUGGCUCGACAAGGGUUCUACACCGGCGAGAAAUCUUUUUACGAAUUCUAGAAGUGUUGUGAGCGGUUCAAGAUGAGAGGAAAAGAGAGAAGAGCGAGUGAGAGAGAGAGAGAAAGAAAAAGAGAGAGCGAGAGAGAAAGAGAGAGAGGGAGAGCGAGCGACAAAAGGAUAAAGCAGUCGGAAUAGAAGCGGGAUCAGAAUGGGAAUGGAAUCUGAUCGCUGACGCGCAUGCGCCGGCAACGUUCAUUCACUCUACCGAAUCAUUCAUAAAUCGCGAGUCCUACGCUGGCACUCAGGGGGCGAACAGGCCCGUAUCGGUAAGACCCAUCGACGAAAAACCGCCCCGCUGAUGUUUCUGCGACGUAAUCGCAACGAAACGUCGCCUUCGAUUCGGAUGUAAUCGACGCGACGACCGCACACGCGCUCAGCCGGAUACAGCGAGGAUAAAGGAAGUGAGGAUACACCGGAUCUGAGAGACCGGUGGAAAUAGGGAUGGAAACGAACCGAUCACGCGCGUGCAAAUGGGUUGUAAUUAUCUCCCCCAAGGACAGCGCGGUAACCGCAAAUAUUCAACGUGAUCCAGAUACAAUUUCAUACGGACAAAGCAGGAAACAGGAGAGACCGAAGAAGAUGGAAACGCCGAUACGCUUCUUCUGACUUGUUCUUCGCCGUUUUCAUUUCCUGGUGUUCGUACACGCGC